UGAGGAAUAUUGGUCAAUGGACGAGAGUCUGAACCAGCCAAGUAGCGUGCAGGAUGACGGCCCUAUGGGUUGUAAACUGCUUUUGUAUGGGGAUAAAGUCAAUCACGUGUGAUUGUUUGCAGGUACCAUACGAAUAAGGACCGGCUAAUUCCGUGCCAGCAGCCGCGGUAAUACGGAAGGUCCGGGCGUUAUCCGGAUUUAUUGGGUUUAAAGGGAGCGUAGGCCGGAGAUUAAGUGUGUUGUGAAAUGUAGACGCUCAACGCCUGACUUGCAGCGCAUACUGGUUUCCUUGAGUACGCACAACGUUGGCGGAAUUCGUCGUGUAGCGGUGAAAUGCUUAGAUAUGACGAAGAACUCCGAUUGCGAAGGCAGCUGACGGGAGCGCAACUGACGCUUAAGCUCGAAGGUGCGGGUAUCGAACAGGAUUAGAUACCCUGGUAGUCCGCACAGUAAACGAUGGAUGCCCGCUGUUGGUACCUGGUAUCAGCGGCUAAGCGAAAGCAUUAAGCAUCCCACCUGGGGAGCACGCCGGCCGGU
rnacentral:rRNA from 1 species